ensembl:lncRNA
AUGAUGAAAAAUAAAUCUCCACUGGGAUGGGGCAGCCUGGCACAGCUGCAGCCCAUUGCCAGGACAUCCCGAUUCUCAUCACACUGGCACCAUUGCGGUAUGGGCACAGUGGUGGUAACACUUCUCUCCCUUUCAGGUGGUGGUGGCACAAUGGAGGCAGAGGGCAGCCGGGCACGCCGCAGGAAGCCCGACAUGGCCCUCUAUGUGCCCAAAGCAAGGCGGGAGAGAGCGGCACAAGCGGUGGCUGCCAGCCACCAGGAGCCUGAGAAGCAGCACCCAGCAGCGGACAUCCACAAGGGUGGCUCUGAGGGGCAGAGGCAAAGCCCCGGAGCCAGGACACACGUGGGCAGAGCGGCUAGCAAGGAGAGCAAGGCCGGAGCCAAGGAGCCACAGGCAGCCCCUGCUGGGGACAGACAGGCAGUGGGAGCAUCACCAGAUGUGCGGGAGCCAAGUCUGGAGCCAGCUGCUGCAGAGCCCUCAGGCAGAGCAUCCCAGGAUGCGGGGUCUGGGAAGCACAGCCAUGGGGUGAGGACGAUGCCAGAUCCCCUGGGUGCUCAUCCUGUGGCUGCCCCUGAGCAUGGUGGAGAUCCUGAUGGUGUAACGGCAGCUGAGCUGAGCAUGGUGCAUCGGACAGAGCUGGGCAAUGUGAUGGAGCUUCUGGGGCACAGCUCCCUGGGUGCAGCUAUGGAGUGCUCAGGGUGCACAGAACAGGGUGCCUUGCAGCAGGCAGGAGAGGGGAAUGUGAGCAGCACACCCCAGCUCAGCUGGGAGAGUGUGAAAAGCCAUGAGGAGGAGAGGGGGCAUGACGAGUCUGUCCUUGCAGGGCAGAGUCAGGGCUGCUCCACUGACCCUGAGGAAGAGAGGCACAGAGGCAGCACUGCGGUUGCCCCAGAAGGAUCUGCCUGUGUAGCUGAGACAGGGAACACGACAGUAUUCCUGGACCAGAACAUGGGCAGCACAUCCCAGCUCCUGCCAGAGCAUGUGGAGCAGCUGCUGCCCAGCAAGGAGCAGGCCACUGCUGGUGUUGGACAUGAUGGAGGGGAGGGUAUUCUUGUGGCUGAUGGGAGCAGUGAGCUGGGGGCCGGUGAGGAGAUGAGCUGUGUGGGGGGGACAGAAAGUAGCUCCAGGGAUGGAGAUCCCCUGGACAGUCCCCAGCCCCUGAAACCCCUGGAGCUUCUGUGUCACAGCAUGGAACAGCUCUCACCUGGAUCAUGUGCUGAGGAACCGACACGAGCAGAUGAGGAUGAAGGCUGUCAGCGGCAGCACCAGGAGGAAGAGGAGGAUGAGGAAGGAUGUCCCCAUGGCAGCUCCCUAAAGCCGAGUCAGCCUAAUGCCGGGACCCCGAGCAGCCCAGACGCUGCCGAGAGCUGGGAUGCACUUUUCAAUGACGAUGGGGAUUGCUUGGACCCGCGCCUGCUGGAGGAGGUAUGUGUGUGGGGAUGGCUCUGUCCUUGGGUUGUGUCCUGCUGGCAUGUAGGGGUGGGAUGUGUGGGGCGUAGGGGUCCCCAUGGCCACCGAGGUAAGCCCCAUGGUGCAUGGCCUGUGUGUGUGCCAUCACUUCCAGCUGUGCAUGGCAUGAGCAGUGCCAUGAGGAUGCUUCUGGGACCUGCCUGGUGCCAGCAAGGCUGGGGGAGCUCUUCCCCUUACCGGUAUGUAAAGCGCAAUCAGUAA